rnacentral:lncRNA from 13 species
AUGAUUGUACUGUUUUUAUUACUACUGGUCAGUACCAUUAUGGUCUAUAGGGGACAGACAUUACUACUGGUCCAUACCAUUAUGGUCUACAGGGGACAGACAUUACUACUGGUCAGUACCAUUAUGGUCUAUAGGGGACAGACAUUACUACUGGUCAGUACCAUUAUGCUCUACAGGGGACAGACAGACAUUACUACUGGUCAGUACCAUUAUGGUCUACAGGGGACAGACAGACAUUACUACUGGUCAGUACCAUUAUGCCCUACAGGGGACAGACAUUACUACUGGUCAGUACCAUUAUGCUCUACAGGGGACAGACAUACAGGCUGGAUUAUCAUUUUUAAAUCACAGAUUAUUUAAUGACCGUGUUGGUUUCCGCUAAUCUCCGAACCCAGAACCAAAUCUUGUGUGUGCUGACCAGCUCGUCGGUUGGGGUAAAUUAAUAAUGGAUGAGCUAACAUUGUAAUACAGUGUUUAUAUUACUGGCCUAAUGUCUAUGAACACAGCUUUAUAUUCACGGAAAGUGAAAGGAAAGGUCUUCCUCAUAUUUCUGAUAAUAAAUGUCAUUGAAUGAAUAUGCUACAAUACCUGUGAUGCUACUGAUGGUGAAUGUUACCUAUAAUAAAGUCAACAUGCUUGAUAUACCAGGAUAUAAUUGCUUUACCUUGUGAUGAUUCACACAUCAUGCUCGCUUCUGUGUGUUUCUUUGUGUGUGUGUAUCUUUGCUCUACCUCCUCCCUCUGUCUCCUCUCUAUAUACACGGGACACGAUGGAAUGGAUAGAAUGGACGAUGGAAAACGAUAGAAUGGACUGUAGAUUAAUUUGCCAACAGCCGCUGCUGCCCAGUUUGUUUUCUGAUAGAUCUGCCGUUUUUCCGUUUCCAUUUUUUACGAUAUUUUUAAUCUACAGUUGUCGCACCCUGACCUUAGAGAGCCUUUUUAUUUCUCUAGUUGGUUAGGUCGGGGUGUGAUUUGGGGUGGGCAUUCUAGUUUUUUUUUUUGAUUUCUUUGUUGGUCGCGUAUGGUUCCCAAUCGGAGUUCCCAAUGGUUCCCAAUGUCUAUCGUUGUCUCUGAUUGGGGAUCAUACUUAGGCAGCCCUUUUUCCCACUUUAGAUUGUGGGAUCUUGUUUGUGUGUAGUUGCGUUCUGCACUGCGUAUAGCUUCACGUUCGGUUGUAGUUU